GCCCCCAGUGGCACCAUGGGUUAGUGCUUCUGGCUGUGAACCAGAAGGUUGGUGUUUCAAGCCCACCCAGGGACA